rnacentral:lncRNA from 1 species
UCCACUUAAAGAUCCGCUAUAAGCCUAAUAAAUAAUUUAGUUCAUAACUAAUGAAUUAAAUACUGAAAAAAUAAAAGAAAUCAUCAUCCCGAUUACACAAAUUGAAAUUAAAGGAGAAUAGUAAUACACCUCCCUUCUCGCCCUUCAAAUCUGUAAUCUUCGUGAAAUUUCUUCUCUUCUUCGUUCCUCCAAGCUCUUGCUUUCAAAUCUCAUUUUCUGAGUGUGUAAGAAUCUCUCCCCAAUCUUUUUCUAACACUUAGCAUAAAAUGUUUCACUUCAGCUCCACACCAUCGAUAAGAAUUCUAAUAGAAAUCCAACUCCUAAUCAAAAUCAAACAAGUCUUUAGUCAAAGACUCCCAAAUGCAUGAAACAACCUCCUUGUCAACUCCUAAUAUAAACAUAUUACAUAAGGAAGUUAAAUCUCCCAUUACAACUCAGAUUCCAGCAUUUAGCAAAAAUACAGCUUGUAACCCCGACCGACCGGCGCGCCCCGCGCCGGGUUUAGUACCAGGACAGCGCGGCCCGCGCCAGUCUACCUGUAACUUUUUACGCUGCAGUGCGCCCCGCGCCACUUUGCUCUUCGUCAUGGCGCGCCCCGCGCCGGUCAUGCAGAAUGUCUAAAAUUGCUUGAAUUUCCUUCCAAUGCUAGCAUCUUGAUAAGCUCACUUAAUAUCCUACAACAAGCACAAAACCCAUCAAAAGUAACAUGAAGUAAUAAAAAAACUAACAAUAUAACAAGCUAAAUAAAUAUAAAUCAUAGGUUAAAAACCUACUCAUCAGUAUGUACUAAAAAUACAAUUAAUUUUCAUAUAUGUAUUAUUGUAAAUAUAACUAAAAUUAAAAUUUUAAUUAUAAAAAAUUCACAAAAUAUUAAUUUUCGGGUUGAUAUAAAUCCCCUGCGGCGAUACAUUCUCGGUGGAAAUUUAGAUUUCCCAUGAUGAUAUGAGAAUGGUUAUUAAGUUUUAAUCCCUGCGGCGAAUGGAAGCGAUAAAUUUUAAUCCUCUCGGAAAAUGGGGGCGAGUAUGAAUUUUUUUUAUAAGAUCGAGAAUAAGGUGGGAUGUGUAAUCUGCUGCCCUCGCAUCGCCCCAGUCCCAGCCCCAGCCCUAACCCCAGCCCUAGCCCUAUAGGAAAACAUAACAAAAAUAGACUUUAUUUUCAUUAGCUUCUGCCUAACUUAGAGGUGGAAUUUGAGUUAUUUAAUGGAAAAUUGAUAAAAUUAAUGAGUUGAUUACACAUUAUAUAAAUUGAUUACUUUAAUCAUGUUCCUACAAAUAAUGCCAAUUGAUAAUAUAUUAGUGGAUUUAUUUGAAUAAACUAUACAAAUAAACUAUAGUUAUUCAAAGUUGUUAAUUGAGUAAAAUACAGUGACUCCGCUUCUAGAUAGCUAUAAUAACUCACGUUUCCUCUAGUUUUUUAAGUAACAAUUAGUACUCCGAUAAAUUUUUAAGGUUAACCAAAUAGAUAAAAUUACAUAUUUACCCUUGUAUGUUAUCAAAUUUUAAUUCUUAAAUUAUAUAUAUAUAUAUAUAUGUGUGUGUGUGUGUGUGUUUAAUUAUCCUUUUUUGAAUACAAUAUAGUUUAAUUUAUAAUUAAGACGAUCUCAUUUAAAUUGUUAGUAACUUAUAAAAAAAAUUAGUUUAAUUAACACAUAUUUUUGGAUAAGUGAUACAAAUAUUAAAAUUUUAAAUUAAAUUAUUAAUGGAGCUAUUCUAAAUAUUACAGUGAUUGAGUAUGUUGAUAGUUUAGUUGUAACUCCCUCAAAUCCCGGUCUACCUUCAAACCGGGGUUUGGUGUGUCACGGUGCUAUUCAUUCAAUGCAUACACCCAUAUAAUCCUAAGACAUAAAUGUAAUUUAAAUAUUAUUACAAUAUAUCAUUUCUAAUCCAAUGCUCUAAGACUUUUACAUUUUCAAAUCAUAAUACUAAUGAAUAUUACAUCAUUUAUCUAUUCCAACAGUACAUUUGUGAGUUUUCUCCGCCACAACAGAUACAUAUAAUUUAACAUGCAAUUCUUCUAAUCAAUACUUGAUCCUUGCACUAAUAUUCACCAUAUUCCUCUGUUCGUUUUAGCUUUGCUGAAUAUAUUUUUUUUAAGCAAAGGUGAACAUUUAAUUGCUCAGCAAGUAUAACCGUUGAAUAAACAAUCAACAACAUAAUGAAUAUCAAUAUAUUUUUUGAAAACUUCAACAACUGAACAAUAGUUGUGAAACAGUAGUUUCGAAAAAUUAGGAAUACCAAUUUCCUUUCAUAUAACGUUUUUGAAACAACAUAAUAUUGAUUAAUCCUCAAGACAUUAACCUUUCUUCUCCGUUCUUUGUUAGAUUUGACAUCUACCGUGUCUACUUCACUACUAUGACACAACAUUUACUCACACAACACAUUAUUACACGAGUUUCAAUACAUACGAAUGCUUGCCCAAAUUAUUUGAUUUGACACUAUUAACUUAACACAAUUCAAGAAUUAUUACAAUUCAUAUUUCACCAAUAAAUAAUCCAACUAGAAUAGUUCAACAAAUCGAGUUAAGCCAAAUCAAAUGACAGUAACUCUUUUUCAUAGCUUAUAUCACAUCAUACAAUGAAUCUUGUGUAUAACAAAUAAGAUUUCACAGUUUAAACUCAUGUUUGCACAUAAUAAUAAAUUAAUUUGUAUAAGGUCAUAGAAUACUUGCACAAAAUAUAAAUUUGUGCAAGUCAGAAAACUUGAAUUCACACAAUAUUAAAACAUUGCGUAAAUUAGAACAUGCAUUCAACAUAUAAAUUGAAUAGGAGUUCGGAAACUUACCUGAAGCAUUCUUUAAUUUAUACACUAAAUAUUCCUUCAAUUGUCCUACACAAUUUAAUUAAAGAUAAUAUACCAAUUAGCCACAUAACGAAUUCAUAUAUUGCUUUACGUUACAUUAUUACUCAUUUUAUGUUGUUCGCGUUUUAUAAAUAAUGUAGCGCGAUAACCUUUCAAAAAUGACACUUGGCGUCGUGGCAUUUAGGAACAACACAACCAUCAUAACGACCUCCUAUGAUGGUCUAUUUUCAUUAUUAUUCAUUUUAUAAUACUAAUCUUUAUAAGUUGGAACAUUUUAGAACAAUUUAAUUAACGAUAACGCCCGACAUGCAUGACGUCGCUCGACGUCACCCAACAUGCCCUGACGUGCACCACGUCACUCGGCGUCCCUUAACACGCUCCGACGUGCACCACGUCACUCGGCGUUGCACAACGUUGCACGACGUUGCAACACGUUCAAAAAUAAUUCGGUGACAGAUUCGUGCACAACCCUUGUUAGACUGCCCAACAGUCGUGGCCUGACGCCCCACAACAUGAGGCCCCAGCGCCCCACAUCUGCUACUCGCCAGCACGACCCACUCGUGCGCCCCCAGCAGCGCCUACGCGUGCCUAGCAGCCCACUACUUUGACAACCCUAACCCCUCUCCUUCCGAACCUUAUAACUUGUUCGUUUUAAGUCGUAAUAAAGCCGUUCUUGCGUCAUUUUUUUCCUUGUAACAUCCUCUACAAAUCCCCCCGGGUGAAAAAAUAUUUCAGACCCAAUAAAAGGCCAAAAAAAAAGGCCCCAAAAACCUUCGACGCUUAGUUUUUUGGCUUUGGUAGAUUCGACAUGCCUUUUUUCGAAGGGAAUAACUCCCUCCUCCGAAGUCAGAAUGAGGUCGCAAUUGAGCCUACUGAUUCCUUGUUCUACGUAAUACACAAUCCCUAGAAUUUUUUUCUGAAGAUUUAAACAACACAAAAUUUGAUACAAAAGUCAGCGCGCAAACUGUUUUUCAAUUUUUCGACUAGUUUUACAAAAAAAUAUGCCAUGACUUUGUUACAAAAUCUUUUAUCUUCGUUCUAAUUGGGUGAUGUUCGUAACUCAUAAGAGCAUAACAUAACCUCCUAGAACUUAAUUUUUAAAUUUGGGACAUCAUAGUUAAAUGGCCCCAAAACAUCCCACUAACAAUCCUCUAUUAAUUGUGCAUAGUUCAUCCUUGUGCAUAGGUCCAUUUUUUCCAUUUUCAUGUGUUCCUCUUUUCAUGUUAUUUACCAGUAGUUUACAUAUUUAAAUCAACUUAUACCUCCUAGAUCCCUUCAUGAUCCACCAUAGCCACAACCACCACCAAUCAAAGCUAACAAGAGCUUGAAAAUAAAAAGAGAUGAAUAAAUAGUUUUAAGUUUCAGGCUUAACCUCUUGAUGUUCUUUCUUGAUCUUGAUUAAGGCUUGCUAGAUGAUGAUCAAAGUUUGAUCCUUCUUCUCUUCCUUGUUCCUCUUUCACCCGUGUACUCUAUAUUCUCUCUCUUGCUUUCUUUUUCUCCUAAUGAUUUAUUGGCAAAAAUAAACAAAUAGGGGAGACAAACAUUAAAUGACUUGCUCCCUUUGGCACAAAACUUACUAUAA